AUUGAACGCUGGCGGCAGGCUUAACACAUGCAAGUCGAGCGGUAGCACAGGGGAGCUUGCUCCCUGGGUGACGAGCGGCGGACGGGUGAGUAAUGUCUGGGAAACUGCCUGAUGGAGGGGGAUAACUACUGGAAACGGUAGCUAAUACCGCAUAACGUCGCAAGACCAAAGAGGGGGACCUUCGGGCCUCUUGCCAUCAGAUGUGCCCAGAUGGGAUUAGCUAGUAGGUGGGGUAAUGGCACACCUAGGCGACGAUCCCUAGCUGGUCUGAGAGGAUGACCAGCCACACUGGAACUGAGACACGGUCCAGACUCCUACGGGAGGCAGCAGUGGGGAAUAUUGCACAAUGGGCGCAAGCCUGAUGCAGCCAUGCCGCGUGUGUGAAGAAGGCCUUCGGGUUGUAAAGCACUUUCAGCGAGGAGGAAGGUGGUGAGCUUAAUACGUUCAUCAAUUGACGUUACUCGCAGAAGAAGCACCGGCUAACUCCGUG
rnacentral:rRNA from 1 species